rnacentral:rRNA from 1 species
UACGAAGGUGGCUAGCGUUGUUCGGAAUUACUGGGCGUAAAGCGCACGUAGGCGGACUUUCAAGUCAGGGGUGAAAUCCCGGGGCUCAACCUCGGAACUGCCUUUGAUACUGUUAGUCUUGAGCUCGGAAGAGGUGGGUGGAAUUCCUAGUGUAGAGGUGAAAUUCAUAGAUAUUAGGAAGAACACCGGUGGCGAAGGCGGCCCACUGGUCCGAUGCUGACGCUGAGGUGCGAAAGCGUGGGGAGCAAACAGG